UUGUGGUGACCAUAAACUCCACACUACCGACUUCUCCAGCGGGCCCGUAGUCAGGCGACGGCGAGAGCGGCCCGCAGCCUGGCGGUCCCUGGCUGUGACGUCACGCCCCCACCGCGGCGCGACCGGCCGGAGCUCAGUUCAUCGCCUGCGCUCGGACAGAGGCUCCCAGAGAUUCGCACCGAACUUUGAAGGCCGCUAUAAUGGCCCACAAUGAGAUACGAUGGACAGACGCCCUACCCAUCGUGCUUUUGGGUCUACGGACGGCGUGGAAGGAAGACUUACACUGCUCAGCGGCAGAAAUGGUCUAUGGUGAGCCUCUGAGGAUCCCUGGGCCAUAAAUCUCCAAGGGGGGUGGUGUGGUGACCAUAAACUCCACACUACCGACUUCUCCAGCGGGCCCGUAGUCAGGCGACGGCGAGAGCGGCCCGCAGCCUGGCGGUCCCUGGCUGUGACGUCACGCCCCCACCGCGGCGCGACCGGCCGGAGCUCAGUUCAUCGCCUGCGCUCGGACAGAGGCUCCCAGAGAUUCGCACUGAACGCACGCCGCUUUUCUCCGCCUUAUCGCUAGCCUCUGCUUACGCGCGUUACAUCUAUAUUGUACAUAGCUUCUUUCUGUCGCCUAACUUUCUUCCGCACUUUGCACGCAUUUUGUUAUUUUAUUUUCUUAGUUAUUAUAAACUUUAUAUGGA